AGUGAACGCUGGCGGUAGGCCUAACACAUGCAAGUCGAACGGCAGCACAGUAAGAGCUUGCUCUUACGGGUGGCGAGUGGCGGACGGGUGAGGAAUACAUCGGAAUCUACUUUUUCGUGGGGGAUAACGUAGGGAAACUUACGCUAAUACCGCAUACGACCUACGGGUGAAAGCAGGGGAACUUCGGACCUUGCGCGAUUGAAUGAGCCGAUGUCGGAUUGGUUGGUUGGCGGGGUAAAGGCCCACCAAGGCGACGAUCCGGAGCUGGUCUGAGAGGAUGGUCAGCCACCCUGGAACUGAGACACGGUCCAGACUCCUACGGGAGGCAGCAGUGGGGAAUAUUGGACAAUGGGCGAAAGCAUGAUCCAGCCAUACCGCGUGGGUGAAGAAGGCCUUCGGGUUGUAAAGCCCUUUUGUUGGGAAAGAAAAGCAGCAGGUUAAUACCCCGCUGUUCUGACGGUACCCAAAGAAUAAGCACCGGCUAACUUCGUG
rnacentral:rRNA from 1 species